rnacentral:rRNA from 1 species
AUUGAACGCUGGCGGCAGGCCUAACACAUGCAAGUCGAACGAGUGGCGGACGGGUGAGUAAUGUCUGGGAAACUGUCAGAGGGAGGGGGAUAACCACUGGAAACGGUCGCUAAUACCGCAUACCAUCGGAUGUGCCCAGAGGGGCUUAGAUAGUAGGUGGUGUAAGGGCUCCGCUAGGCGACGAUCCCUAGCUGGUCUGGGAAGGUGACCAGCGACACUGGAACUGAGACACGGUGCAAACUCCUACGGGGGGCAGCAGUGGGGACUAUUGCACGAGGGGGGAAACGCUGAUGCAGCAGCGCCGCGUUCGUGAUGACGGCCUUCGGGUUGUGAACCGCUUGCAGCCAUGACGCGGUAGUGGCAGAAGAAGCACCGGCUAACUACGUGCCAGCAGCCGCGGUAAUUC